GUGCCCGUAGCUCAGUUGGAUAGAGCACCGCCCUUCUAAGGCGGUGGCCACUGGUUCGAACCCAGUCGGGCACACCA
rnacentral:tRNA from 1 species